rnacentral:rRNA from 1 species
AACGCUGGCGGCAUGCCUAACACAUGCAAGUCGAACGAAUUACCUUCGGGUAGUUAGUGGCGCACGGGUGCGUAACGCGUGGGAAUCUACCCCUUGGUUCGGAAUAACAGUUGGAAACGACUGCUAAUACCGGAUGAUGACGUAAGUCCAAAGAUUUAUCGCCGAGGGAUGAGCCCGCGUAGGAUUAGGUAGUUGGUGUGGUAAAGGCGCACCAAGCCGACGAUCCUUAGCUGGUCUGAGAGGAUGAUCAGCCACACUGGGACUGAGACACGGCCCAGACUCCUACGGGAGGCAGCAGUGGGGAAUAUUGGACAAUGGGCGAAAGCCUGAUCCAGCAAUGCCGCGUGAGUGAUGAAGGCCUUAGGGUUGUAAAGCUCUUUUACCCGGGAUGAUAAUGACAGUACCGGGAGAAUAAGCUCCGGCUAACUCCGUGCCAGCAGCCGCGGUAAUACGGAGGGAGCUAGCGUUAUUCGGAAUUACUGGGCGUAAAGCGCACGUAGGCGGCUUUGUAAGUAAGAGGUGAAAGCCCAGAGCUCAACUCUGGAAUUGCCUUUUAGACUGCAUCGCUUGAAUCAUGGAGAGGUCAGUGGAAUUCCGAGUGUAGAGGUGAAAUUCGUAGAUAUUCGGAAGAACACCAGUGGCGAAGGCGGCUGACUGGACAUGUAUUGACGCUGAGGUGCGAAAGCGUGGGGAGCAAAC